rnacentral:lncRNA from 1 species
GUAAACAGACAUUAUCAUAAAUAUCUAAAGGCGAGUAAAAUGGAGGCAAGUUUAAACAACAAAUUUCAACCCAUUUCAUAAUGUUUUCAGUUUAUUUCUUAAACCAUAAAAUAUUUGUAAUUUAUCAAAACAAUUGUUAAGACUUAUGUCUUUUAUUAAAACAAGGCUCAAGCCAAAACUAAUCCUCGGGGAUACCUUGGCCGAGGCAUCUAACCGAGUCCACCAAGGGUGUUAAAAUAUUCACACGUGAAACACAUUUUUAUUUUUAAAACAAGCCGUCCCUUGGCGUUGGUCGAGUUACACAUUCACGUGGGGGUUCGACGUGAAGUGAGCUCUAAUACUACCCCGGGAGUUACCCUCCUCGCCUCUAUGACCGGAGUAACUAUAUAACUUGGUUUACCGUGCCCCUCUAAUAGGCAGUCCACGGAAACCCGUCACUGCAGUGACUAACCCACCAAUUUUAAUAAAAUUUUGACAGUAUAACGUGGCUUUUAUUUAUUUAUCCAGCCUGCAUAGUAAAAACAACUUACAUAAAUUUCCCAAUGCACUCACAGAAUAUAGCCACAUAUACUCAUUUCUCAUAAGCCAUUCCUAGGAAAAUAUAUAUUUUUCAAGUCAAUUUGUAGCCUCAAAUUACUCAAUUUCAUAAUCAAUACAAUAUAUUUUUAUUUAUCACAUUUAUUCCUAAAACAUCAAAAAUCUCGUUUUAAUUUCGUUCUCAUUUCAUAAAAUACAUAAAGGGCAUUUAAAAUAAACUCUAGAUAAUUUACAAUAAUAAUAAGUUUACUCACCGUUUGUACAAACUAAAAGCUUUCUAAGCGCCCCGAUCACUACUCGUCGGGUACGACUUCUUUGCCUUUUUCGGAAGGCUCUCCUCCUAGACACAUUACAAAAAUUUACACAAUUCAUCACAUUGAUGCUAAAUCACUAUAUAAUUAACUUAAAUCCUAUACUAAUGCAUGGUAUGAAAUGCAAUAGCCUAAAACGGCUUAAACGCGGUAUUAACCUAUUUUUGGCACUUUGCCCGAUAAAUUGCUAACGCGCUCCAUUUUAGCUCUAAAUCAUCCCAUUCUCUCUCCAACAUUUCUAACCAUUAAAUAUCAGCCAAUAACCUUCUAAAAACAACAAAAUCAGCUCACUCCCUUCCUUGGAAAAUUCGGCCAAAAAUGGGACAUUAACUCGGUUAAUUUUCUACUUUGUUUUUCUAUCACGUUUAAUCGUUUUUCAUCAUUUUCUCUUCAUUUUCCUUAGAAUAAAAUCAAUUCAUCAUCAUUGUACAGCAUUGAGCAUCCAGCCAAGAGUGGGUAUUGUGAAAAUUUAAUGAUUUCUUGCCCAAUUUAAUUUCUAAACACAUUUAACUAACUAAAACUAUCAAUUUAACUAAAAAUCAAAACCUAAAAAUUUCAAUUUCUCUCCCCUAGAAUUUCGUCCAGCCCUUGAUAUCACUUUUUGAUCUCUCUCCUCAAGCAUGCUAAAUGGAAAUAAAGGCAUAGGAAAGGUAGAAAUCAAGCUAAAAUCGAAAAAUCUUACCGUUAGACGCGUAAACGGUCGAAAACCGCGAAUUUCCCUUUGAAUUUUCUUGUUUCUCUUUGGUUUUUCU